rnacentral:tRNA from 1 species
GCCGAAGUGGUGAAAUUGGUAGACACGCUAUCUUGAGGGGGUAGUGGACAAAAUCCGUCCGGGUUCAAAUCCCGGCUUCGGCACCA